CGAGUCCCUGGCUGCCCUGCAGGAGGCCGAGUAGCCAUGGCCUUGGCGUCCCUGGGCCUUGACCGCCCGCCGCCAGCCCUGUCCACACUGCUCCUGCGAGCGGCGGGCCCGGGAAGGAAGAGUUAACCAGAAAUGGAGCGGCGCAGCUCCGGGGCAGGCAGCCUCGCUGCAGAACCGAGCAGCGUUCGUGCAAAGGGUACAAGCCAUAGAGGCUUCCUUGCAAGCCUGCUUUCCCAUGACACGCCUCUCCUACUUGCUCAGGACACAGCAGGGUACAGACUUGCUCAGGGGGACCCUGAAAGUGUCUUAAGAAUCUGAAUUUAUAUUAAAAACGUGAAAGUGUCAAACCUCAAAGCAAGUCUGUGGAGCCUAAGUAAGUGGAAUGGGAGUGGAGAAGAAACACGGAGGCGAGGUUGUGAUGUGGUGUGGCGCAGGAGGCCCUGUGGGCCUGCUCAUCUGGAAUUCUGCAGCGCGGGUUGUGUGGGAUCACAACGCUUUCCGGCACUUGUUCAUGUCUUAUUGCCAUGGGUGAGACGGGAGGCCAGCAGCAGCAUCCCAC
ensembl:lncRNA